GAGUGAUCGAAAGAUGAAAAGCACUUUGGAAAGAGAGUCAAACAGCACGUGAAAUUGUUGAAAGGGAAGCGCUUGCAGCCAGACUUGCUUACAGUUGCUCAUCCGGGUUUCUACCCGGUGCACUCUUCUGUAGGCAGGCCAGCAUCAGUUUGGGCGGUAGGAUAAAGGUCUCUGUCACGUACCUCCUUUCGGGGAGGCCUUAUAGGGGAGACGACAUACUACCAGCCUGGACUGAGGUCCGCGCAUCUGCUAGGAUGCUGGCGUAAUGGCUGUAAGCGGC
rnacentral:rRNA from 1 species